rnacentral:rRNA from 1 species
UACGUAGGGGGCAAGCGUUGUUCGGAUUCAUUGGGCGUAAAGGGUGCGUAGGCGGCGCGGUAAGUCGGGUGUGAAAUCUCGGAGCUUAACUCCGAAACUGCAUUCGAUACUGCCGUGCUUGAGGACUGGAGAGGAGACUGGAAUUUACGGUGUAGCGGUGAAAUGCGUAGAUAUCGUAAGGAAGACCAGUGGCGAAGGCGGGUCUCUGGACAGUUCCUGACGCUGGGGCACGAAGGUCAGGGGAGCAAACGGG